rnacentral:rRNA from 1 species
GUGGGGAAUAUUGGACAAUGGGCGAAAGCCUGAUCCAGCAAUGCCGCGUGAGUGAUGAAGGCCCUAGGGUUGUAAAGCUCUUUUACCCGGGAAGAUAAUGACUGUACCGGGAGAAUAAGCCCCGGCUAACUCCGUGCCAGCAGCCGCGGUAAUACGGAGGGGGCUAGCGUUGUUCGGAAUUACUGGGCGUAAAGCGCACGUAGGCGGCUUUGUAAGUUAGAGGUGAAAGCCCGGGGCUCAACCCCGGAAUAGCCUUUAAGACUGCAUCGCUUGAACGUCGGAGAGGUGAGUGGAAUUCCGAGUGUAGAGGUGAAAUUCGUAGAUAUUCGGAAGAACACCAGUGGCGAAGGCGGCUCACUGGACGACUGUUGACGCUGAGGUGCGAAAGCGUGGGGAGCAAACAGGAUUAGAAACCCCGGUAGUCC